rnacentral:rRNA from 1 species
UACGGAGGGUGCAAGCGUUAUCCGGAUUCACUGGGUUUAAAGGGUGCGUAGGAGGGCAGGUAAGUCAGUGGUGAAAUCUUCGAGCUUAACUCGGAAACUGCCGUUGAUACUAUCUGUCUUGAAUACCGUGGAGGUGAGCGGAAUAUGUCAUGUAGCGGUGAAAUGCUUAGAUAUGACAUAGAACACCAAUUGCGAAGGCAGCUCGCUACACGAAUAUUGACUCUGAGGCACGAAAAGCGUGGGGAUCAAACAGG